UUCGCUACACCGGAUAAGGUGGCUGAACUUGUUCAAAAGGUAUAUGCUGCAAUACAGCAAGAGUUGCUUCCGAUUUUAGCAAAAAUGAAACUCUAUUUGCAAAACCCAUCAACAAGGACCAUUCUUUUCAAGCCAAUCAAGUCAAUAUAGUGGAAGCACAUACCCAAGUGGAGUCCUUGCUCAAAGCUGAGUACACAGCAGACGAACAAGCCAGUAUCAGUAUGAUCUCCAUUCAGGAUUUGCAAACCCAACUCGAUAAUUUCCUUUAAAGUCAUGGCUCAAUGGAAAUACCAUGUUUUUGAUGUCUUU